UCGCUUCUCACCGUCUUUAU
rnacentral:snRNA from 1 species